UCGGGAAUUUUGGGCAAUGGGCGAAAGCCUGACCCAGCAACGCCGCGUGAAGGAUGAAGUAUUUCGGUAUGUAAACUUCGAAAGAAUAGGAAGAAUAAAUGACGGUACUAUUUAUAAGGUCCGGCUAACUACGUGCCAGCAGCCGCGGUAAUACGUAGGGACCAAGCGUUGUUCGGAUUUACUGGGCGUAAAGGGCGCGUAGGCGGCAUGACAAGUCACUUGUGAAAUCUCUGGGCUUAACCCAGAACGGCCAAGUGAUACUGUCGCGCUAGAGUGCAGAAGGGGCAAUCGGAAUUCUUGGUGUAGCGGUGAAAUGCGUAGAUAUCAAGAGGAACACCUGAGGUGAAGACGGGUUGCUGGGCUGACACUGACGCUGAGGCGCGAAAGCCAGGGGAGCAAACGGGAUUAGAUACCCUCGAGUCCCUGAGCGGGCUGGCAAGGCGCAU
rnacentral:rRNA from 1 species